UUGUACAAAGAGUGGUAGAGCAGGGUGUCCAGUGGCAGCUCUCCCACACUCGCUCCGCUCCUCCUCAUCCAGUGUCGGAGCCAGACUGCAGCUCAGGCUUUUUAUCAUUUAACUGCAGGGAUAGAUGAUGGUAAUGAAGACGGCUCCUCGCUGUCUGCUCCUCAUGGGGUAACAUCAGCACAUGUGUCAGAUGGAAGGAAUGCUAAUCUGGAAGAGGUGCAGAGCUUGGACUUUUUGGCAGCCAGUUUCCACUCUGCACUUACUUUCCAUGUGGUGCCGCUCCAGAGGCUCCGGGCGGGAGAAGCCUGUUUGGGGAACGGAGGUGUUGACGGAUCCCAGAUCGCCCCAUUGGCCACACCCCCCAUCUGAGGGUCACGGCUCUGAAGGACAACUGACCUGAACUUCUGUUCCAGUACCACUUCCAAAUCUGUAGUUCAUAUUAAGGUCUAGAAUGGAGGAUCAUGAUUUCUCAAUGGAGAUGUUAAAUGUGUGAGACCUAAGAUUGCUGAUCUUCACCUGUCAACAGGUUUUACACCAGAGAGCUGUUUGUUUGCACUCUACAAACUCUGAAUGCUAAAUUUAUCAGCUACUCAGUACUGGGUUUAAACUGUGGAACAGCAGCUGUUUAUAUUAGAUCAGCACAGGGUUAUUAUAAUUAACUAAAAUGAAAACCAUAAAAAACAUAAAUAAAUAAAAAUAAAUUUUAACUGAAAAAAAAAAAGUUUAAUUUCAGCUAGUUUCCAAAGCAACAUUUCUCAAUUUUUAGUUUAACUAGAUGUACUAAAAGUAAAAUAAAAAUGUAUAAAACUGAAAUGACAAAAGCCAA